rnacentral:rRNA from 1 species
CGGACUGCGGCGUGCUAUACAUGCAAGUCGAGCGGACAGAUGGGAGCUUGCUCCCUGAUGUUAGCGGCGGACGGGUGAGUAACACGUGGGUAACCUGCCUGUAAGACUGGGAUAACUCCGGGAAACCGGGGCUAAUACCGGAUGGUUGUUUGAACCGCAUGGUUCAAACAUAAAAGGUGGCUUCGGCUACCACUUACAGAUGGACCCGCGGCGCAUUAGCUAGUUGGUGAGGUAACGGCUCACCAAGGCAACGAUGCGUAGCCGACCUGAGAGGGUGAUCGGCCACACUGGGACUGAGACACGGCCCAGACUCCUACGGGAGGCAGCAGUAGGGAAUCUUCCGCAAUGGACGAAAGUCUGACGGAGCAACGCCGCGUGAGUGAUGAAGGUUUUCGGAUCGUAAAGCUCUGUUGUUAGGGAAGAACAAGUACCGUUCGAAUAGGGCGGUACCUUGACGGUACCUAACCAGAAAGCCACGGCUAACUACGUGCCAGCAGCCGCGGUAAUACGUAGGUGGCAAGCGUUGUCCGGAAUUAUUGGGCGUAAAGGGCUCGCAGGCGGUUUCUUAAGUCUGAUGUG